AUUGAACGCUGGCGGCAGGCUUAACACAUGCAAGUCGAACGAGUGGCGGACGGGUGAGUAAUGCGUGGGAAUCUCCCUUAUGGAGGGGGAUAACUACGGGAAACGGUAGCUAAUACCGCGUACCAUAGGAUGAGCCCAAGUGGGAUUAGGUAGUUGGUGAGGUAACGGCUCACCAAGGCGACGAUCCCUAGCUGGUCUGAGAGGAUGACCGGCCACACUGGAACGGAGACACGGUCCAGACUCCUACGGGAGGCAGCAGUGGGGAAUAUUGCGCAAUGGGCGCAAGCCUGACGCAGCCAUGCCGCGUGAAUGAAGAAGGCCUUCGGGUUGUAAAGUUCUUUCAGUAGGGAGGCGUUACCUACAGAAGAAGCACCGGCUAACUCCGUGCCAGCAGCCGCGGUAAUAC
rnacentral:rRNA from 1 species